UCGGGAAUUUUGGGCAAUGGGCGAAAGCCUGACCCAGCAACGCCGCGUGAAGGAUGAAGUAUUUCGGUAUGUAAACUUCGUAAGAAUAGGAAGAAUAAAUGACGGUACUAUUUGUAAGGUCCGGCUAACUACGUGCCAGCAGCCGCGGUAAUACGUAGGGACCAAGCGUUGUUCGGAUUUACUGGGCGUAAAGGGCGCGUAGGCGGCGUGACAAGUCACUUGUGAAAUCUCCGGGCUUAACUCGGAACUGCCAAGUGAUACUGUCGUGCUAGAGUGCAGAAGGGGCAAUCGGAAUUCUUGGUGUAGCGGUGAAAUGCGUAGAUAUCAAGAGGAACACCUGAGGUGAAGACGGGUUGCUGGGCUGACACUGACGCUGAGGCGCGAAAGCUAGGGGAGCAAACGGGAUUAGAUACCCAAGUAGUCCCUGAGCGGGCUGGCAAGGCGCAU
rnacentral:rRNA from 1 species